UACAGAGGGUGCAAGCGUUAAUCGGAAUUACUGGGCGUAAAGCGUGCGUAGACGGUUACAUAAGUCGGAUGUGAAAGCCCCGGGCUCAACCUGGGAAUUGCAUUCGAGACUGUGUAGCUAGGAUGCGGAAGAGGGAAGCGGAAUUUCCGGUGUAGCGGUGAAAUGCGUAGAUAUCAGGAGGAACACCUGUGGCGAAAGCGGCUCACUGGACCAUAACUGACGCUGAUGCACGAAAGCUAGGGGAGCAAACAGG
rnacentral:rRNA from 1 species